rnacentral:siRNA from 1 species
UGGAAGGUUGUUACAGUCUCC